GAUGAACGCUAGCUACAGGCUUAACACAUGCAAGUCGAGGGGAAACGACAUCGAAAGCUUGCUUUUGAUGGGCGUCGACCGGCGCACGGGUGAGUAACGCGUAUCCAACCUGCCCAUCACUUGGGAAUAACCUUGCGAAAGUAAGACUAAUACCCAAUGAUAUCCAUAGAAGACAUCUGAAAUGGAUUAAAGAUUUAUCGGUGAUGGAUGGGGAUGCGUCUGAUUAGCUUGUUGGCGGGGGUAACGGGCCCACCAAGGCGACGAUCAGUAGGGGUUCUGAGAGGAAGGUCCCCCACAUUGGAACUGAGACACGGUCCAAACUCCUACGGGAGGCAGCAGUGAGGAAUAUUGGUCAAUGGACGAGAGUCUGAACCAGCCAAGUAGCGUGCAGGACGACGGCCCUAUGGGUUGUAAACUGCUUUAUAAGGGAAUAAAGUUAGGGACGUGUCCUUUUUGCAGGUACCGCAUGAA
rnacentral:rRNA from 1 species